rnacentral:ncRNA from 1 species
UUUAUGGAGAGUUUGAUCCUGGCUCAGGACGAACGCUGGCGGCGUGCCUAAUACAUGCAAGUCGAGCGGACUUGAUGGAGUGCUUGCACUCCUGAAGGUUAGCGGCGGACGGGUGAGUAACACGUAGGCAACCUGCCCGUAAGACUGGGAUAACAUUCGGAAACGAAUGCUAAUACCGGAUACGCGAUUUUCUCGCAUGAGGGAAUCGGGAAAGAAGGAGCAAUCUUUCACUUACGGAUGGGCCUGCGGCGCAUUAGCUAGUUGGUGGG